UACGUAGGGUGCAAGCGUUAAUCGGAAUUACUGGGCGUAAAGCGUGCGCAGGCGGUUAUGUAAGACAGUUGUGAAAUCCCCGGGCUCAACCUGGGAAUUGCAUCUGUGACUGCAUGGCUAGAGUGCGGCAGAGGGGGAUGGAAUUCCGCGUGUAGCAGUGAAAUGCGUAGAUAUGCGGAGGAACACCGAUGGCGAAGGCAAUCCCCUGGGCCUGCACUGACGCUCAUGCACGAAAGCGUGGGGAGCAAACAGG
rnacentral:rRNA from 1 species